rnacentral:rRNA from 1 species
GGGUUGUGAGGUUAAGCGACUAAGCGUACACGGUGGAUGCCCUGGCAGUCAGAGGCGAUGAAGGGCGUGCUAAUCUGCGAUAAGCGCCGGUAAGGUGAUAUGAACCGUUAUAACCGGCGAUACCCGAAUGGGGAAACCCAGUGUGAUUCGUCACACUAUCAUUAACUGAAUCCAUAGGUUAAUGAGGCGAACCGGGGGAACUGAAACAUCUAAGUACCCCGAGGAAAAGAAAUCAACCGAGAUUCCCCCAGUAGCGGCGAGCGAACGGGGAGGAGCCCAGAGCCUGAAUCAGCAUGUGUGUUAGUGGAAGCGUCUGGAAAGGCGCGCGAUACAGGGUGACAGCCCCGUACACAAAAGCGCAUGUGCUGUGAGCUCGAUGAGUAGGGCGGGACACGUGGUAUCCUGUCUGAAUAUGGGGGGACCAUCCUCCAAGGCUAAAUACUCCUGACUGACCGAUAGUGAACCAGUACCGUGAGGGAAAGGCGAAAAGAACCCCGGCGAGGGGAGUGAAAAAGAACCUGAAACCGUGUACGUACAAGCAGUGGGAGCCCCACCACCAAAGCAUUUGCUGUACCGCGUUGACGGAGCGAAGCGACGUCAAACCGAUAAAACAGCAGUGUAAAGUGAGCCGCAGGGCGCUUUGCGCGACAGCGCAAAGGCAGGCGGUUUCGCGUAGCGAAAGCGAAUGCUUUGGGGUGGGGUGACUGCGUACCUUUUGUAUAAUGGGUCAGCGACUUAUAUUCUGUAGCAAGGUUAACCGUAUAGGGGAGCCGUAGGGAAACCGAGUCUUAACCGGGCGUUAAGUUGCAGGGUAUAGACCCGAAACCCGGUGAUCUAGCCAUGGGCAGGUUGAAGGUUGGGUAACACUAACUGGAGGACCGAACCGACUAAUGUUGAAAAAUUAGCGGAUGACCUGUGGCUGGGGGUGAAAGGCCAAUCAAACCGGGAGAUAGCUGGUUCUCCCCGAAAGCUAUUUAGGUAGCGCCUCGUGAAUUCAUCUCCGGGGGUAGAGCACUGUUUCGGCUAGGGGG